UCUCUCUCUUCUUCUUUUCCCCCCUCACACGACAGCUUCCUUCCUCUUUCUUCUCUCCUGUUCGUGCGAACAAAAACCAGGAGCUGAAGAACGAAAGCUGCAGCUCACCGUCGCUGCUCCGUCGCCGCUCGUCCCGCCGUCGCACCACCGCCCACGCCGCGCCCGCGCGCUCGCCGCCGUUCCGUCGUCCGCGCACGCCCAGGCCGCGCGAAUCAGCCGCUGUUCACCCCUGUUCCAGCCUCGUCCGGCCAUCCCCGGCCACCUCCGGCCACCGCCUAGCCCCGCGGGACUUCCCCCGCGACCCCCUCGCCCUCCGCCGGCUUCCCCUCGCCGCCCUAGUCGGCGGAGCAGCCCAGAUCGGCUCCGUCCAGCAGACCCACGGAGUGGGUUUCAACGACUUCAGGCCCGCUUUUGGGCCGUUUCCCGGCCCCGAACCCGAGCCGUGCUUUGGGAACUAUCGUUCCUCGCGUCGCCGCCGUCGGAUUGAUCCGAUUUGCGCGCGAUUUGGUGAGUAAUCUCACUAAUCCCGGAUUAGUUGGUUAAUUAUGCUUAAGGUUAAUUAAUUUGUUUAGGUUAUUAUAUUAGAAUAAAUUAGCAUUUAUUAGUCAAUUGUGAUGUGAUUUAAAUAAAUUAAUUGCGCAAUUAGCAAGUAGACGUGGUCUACUAUUUAUUGGAAGUAUCUCGGGAAUUUUCCGACCCCUAAUGGGGCUUCAAUUUGGCGAUUCGGGCCUAAGUGGGAUUUUUGGCAUUUAAAUAUUAAUUUUCGGAAUUAAAUUAAAUAAUUAUUUAUUUUCCGAAAAUUCAAGGGAGAUGGUCCGGAACCGAAAUAUUAUGCAGAUGACUGUGGUGAAGUCAAUUUAUUUAAUCGUGCUUUAUUUUGAGUUAAAUUGAAUUAUUAAUGUUAAUUAUUUAAUUUUCGAAAUUAAUUAAUUAAUUAUUUAUUUUCCGAAAAUUCAACUAGGAUGGCCUGUGACCGGAAAAUUAUGCUGAUGACCGUGGUGAAGUCUGCUUAUUUAAUUGGAUCUUAAUUUGAACUAAACAGAAUUUUUAAUAUUUAAUAAUUAAUUUUCGAAAUUAAUUAAUUAUUUAUUUAUUUUUCAGAAAUUAAGAUUGAGAUGGCCGACGACCGAAAUCUCGUGCUGAUUGUCGUGCCGUAGUCCGUUUAUUUAUUUGAGCUUUGAAUUGUGCCAAAUUGAUUUAAUUGUGGAUAUUUAGGAUAUGUUCCUAAAUUGAUUAUUUGGGUGAAUUGAGUAUGAAUUAAGGUUGUGGAUAAUUACUUUUGAAACGGGAUGAAUCAUCAUGAAAGGCACGUGGAUUGAUGAUUAGAUAUGUCACCUCGGAGAAUGCACAUGGCUCGGUGACAGUAUGUCGCCUAAGAGAAUGCAUGUGGCUCGGUAAUUGGUUCUAUCAGUUAUGACUGAAUAGCAUUCUAUUUAUCAGCUUUGGAUGAGCAUAUGGUAUACCACAUCGGCCUUCGGACGAUAUGGCAGCUUUGGGUGAGCAAUAUACUAGUAUACUAUAUCGACCUACGGGCGAUAUGUCAACUUUGGGUGAGCAGUAUACUUUAUUAUCAGCUUUGGGUGAACAUAUGGUAUACUAUAUCGGCCUUCGGGCGAUAUGUCAGCUUUGGGUGAGCAGUAUACCGGUAUACUAUAUCGACCUACGGGCGAUGUGUCAGCUUUGGGUGAGCAGUAUACCUUAUUAUCAGUUUUGGGUGAGCUAUGCUAUCUAUUUAUCAGCUUUGGGUGAGCAGUCCUGAUUUGAUAGGACUUUAUAGAUAGUAUUGAAUAUGCCGACCAAGCAUGGGUCGUGAUGUCAUGUAAUCGACUAGGUCGAUUGAUCAUUGUUUUGAUAUGAUGCUUUGAAUUGAUUGAUUGGAUGGAAAUGACCGUGAGUGGUCUUGUUGACAUGUAAUUGACUAGGUUGAUUUGAUCGAUGUUUCGAUCUGUGAAGUGAUUGCUUGAACACCUAUUGUGAAUUGUACUGACUUGCAGGUGGGAUCUGAUGCUAAGGUACGUCUUCUGACCUAUGCAUGUUUAGGCAGCCUAUAGUAUAAUGGUUUACUAAUCGGGCUUAGUGGGGUAAAACUCGCUGAGACGUAAUCUCAUCCCAGUUUGGGGAAAAACAUUUCAGGAUCCCGCUGAGGAGCUGAGGAGGAGGAGUCUGAGAAUGAUUUUUGGAAGAAGAAGAUAAUCCUGAGAGGGGCCUUGAGUAUGGCCCAGAUGGACUGAGAAUUUAUCUUCUUUUGAGAUCUCCUUUUUGAUGUGAUUUAAGUUUAGAGCAAAAAGUUGUAGAGUGCUCUGGUUUGUGUUUUGUAUAAAAGUUUGGUUAUAAAUUUCAAUAUGAAAAAUAUGACCCUGCUUUUCUAUCCCA
rnacentral:lncRNA from 1 species